AGGAUGUGCAUGCCGUCGCCGGCUCGUGCUCGUAGGUGUCCUGUUAAGUCAGGCAACGAGCGAGACCCCCACCUCCUAGUUGCGUACUCCAGGCGCUUUCGGGAGCCGUGGGCACUCUAGGGAGGACUGCCGGCGAUAAGCCGGAGGAAGGUGGGGGCUACGGCAGGUUCAGUAUGCCCCGAAAAUCCCCGGGCUACACGCGAGUCUGCAAGUGGCGGGGAACAGCGGGAUUCCUGACCCCGAAAGAGGGGAGGUAAUCUCCCGUAAACCCCGCCUCAUUAGGAAUCGAGGGUCUGACAACUCGCCCUCGUUAAACGUAGAAAUCCCUAG
rnacentral:rRNA from 1 species